rnacentral:rRNA from 1 species
ACUCCUACGGGAGGCAGCAGUGGGAAUCUUGGACAAUGGGCGACCUACGAUCCAGCCAUGCCGCGUGAGUGAUGAAGGCCUUAGGGUCGUAAAGCUCUUUCGCCUGUGAAGAUAAUGACGGUAGCAGGUAAAGAAACCCGCCGACAUCCGUGCCAGCAGCCGCGGUAAUACGGAGGGGUUAGCGUUGUUCGGAAUUACUGGGCGUAAAGCGCACGUAGGCGGAUCGGAAAGUU